UACGUAGGGUGCAAGCGUUGUCCGGAAUUAUUGGGCGUAAAGGGCGCGUAGGCGGCUUGGCAAGUGGAUGGUGAAAUCCCUCGGCUUAACCGAGGAACUGCCGUCCAAACUGCUUUGCUUGAGGCCGGGAGAGGCGAGUGGAAUUCCCAGUGUAGCGGUGAAAUGCGUAGAUAUUGGGAGGAACACCAGUGGCGAAGGCGGCUCGCUGGACCGGUUCUGACGCUGAUAGCGCGGAAAGCGGUGGGGAGCAAACUCGGG
rnacentral:rRNA from 1 species